UACGUAGGUGGCAAGCGUUGUCCGGAUUUAUUGGGGUUAAAGGGCGCGUAGGCGGCUUUGUAAGUCAGUGGUGAAAUAUGGCAGCUCAACUGUCAAGGUGCCAUUGAUACUGCAGAGCUUGAGUACAGAUGAGGUAGGCGGAAUUGACGGUGUAGCGGUGAAAUGCUUAGAUAUCGUCAAGAACACCUAUAGCGAAGGCAGCUUACUAGGCUGUAACUGACGCUGAGGCACGAAAGUGUGGGGAUCAAACAGG
rnacentral:rRNA from 1 species